UAUUUUUGUUCUUUUUUCUUUUUGUUUUUGCUGUUUAAGCACCUGUCAUCUACUUGUGUAGGGGUUAAGGUGGAAGACGAUAAAGAUGAGAUGUCAACAUUAUUGUUUCUUUAAACGUUUCACCCUAUACACUUUGUAAGGCUGCUGAAAUUUUGGAACUGGUGUGUUAUAGCUGCUUGUAUUACUCUCCCAUGCAUAAGAAAGAACAUUCAAUUCACUUAACGCCACUCCACAAGUCUUUCUACUCUCAUCUGUACCCAGGGGAAAACAAAUUCCAGUGCAUUAGGGCAUUUGGAUGGCAGCACAUCACAGCUGAGGGAGCGCCUAGGCUUGGCUCUGUUUCCAACAGCCCUGUGACCCUGGGCCCAUGGCCACACCCCUUUGGGGGACCCUGGGUUCAACUGCUAAAAUGCAAAAAUUAGACAUUACUUAAAAAUCUUCUUGCCCUCCAAACACUUUAUUUUCAUCUUUUCAUUAUCUCACAUUUUUUUCUUUUCCUUUAUUACCCUUCCCCUACCCAUCCCACCUUCCCAACACCUUUAGCAGGGAUAAGGGGAAAAAAUGAGAAUCAAGACUUGUCAUGUAGAGGUACAAGAUCCCAACAAUGAAUGUAACUGUACUGCA
rnacentral:lncRNA from 1 species